rnacentral:piRNA from 1 species
UCUCACGGGAACGCAAAAAAA